GCCCGGCUAGCUCAGUCGGCAGACCAUGAGACUCCCAAUCUCAGGGCCGUAGGUUCGAGCCCCACAUUGGGCG